rnacentral:misc_RNA from 1 species
GUUUUGAUUGAUCGAUGCAUGGUGUGGAUGAUAUUGUUCUUUUUAUUUUUUUGUUUGAAAGCAUGCUGUAUUUUUUUUCUCUCUUAAUGUUGAAUCCCCUUUGCUAAUAUGUAAAUUUUCAAUUAAAAAAUUUCAAAUUUUUUUUAAUUACAAAUUUAAUAACAAUUAUAAUACCAAAAAGAACUCGAAUUUGCUUCUUAUUAUCUUAUUUUCCCUUAUCACGAAUGAACUAAUUUGCUUCUUGUUUUGCUUGUAUUUAUCUUAUUUUCCAUUUCAUGAGAAUAACG